rnacentral:rRNA from 1 species
UACGGGGGGAGCAAGCGUUGUUCGGAUUUACUGGGCGUAAAGGGCGCGUAGGCGGCCAGCACACGUCAGUUGUGAAAUCUCCGAGCUUAACUCGGAAAGGUCAACUGAUACUGUGCGGCUAGAGUGCGGAAGGGGCAACUGGAAUUCUUGGUGUAGCGGUGAAAUGCGUAGAUAUCAAGAGGAACACCUGCGGCGAAGGCGGGUUGCUGGGCCGACACUGACGCUGAGGCGCGAAAGCCAGGGGAGCAAACGGG